ensembl:lncRNA
AUCUCUGGUUAGAGAUCCCUUGCUUGUGGAGUUUUCCUUAGGAGCCUGGAGCUUCAGAGACUGGAGUCUCUAAUGCAUGUAGCACCUUUUCUGAAGUUGACAGCAGCAUCACGAUUAUGUUUGUUACCACAUCUCUAUGACGAUAACCAGGCAAUCCUUCUAUCAUGAAGGUUUUUCUUCUUUGCUCGACACCUUCUUUGGAAUCUUCUCAAGCACGAUCGUUUUAUAAUAUUAAAAGUAGCAUAAGUGUGCAAGUAGCUUGUCACAGCUCCACGAGGUCUUUGAGAAGAUCAGUAGUCUGAGGCUGAAAAGGAGUUUUCUCUUCCUCUCACAACUUCCUUUUUGAUAACUGAGUAUCAUAGCUAAUUUUCAUUGAUCUUUCCUUGUAUAAGAAAACUUUCUGGUGUUAGAUUCACUCUGAAGGUAUUGUAUGGUCACAUCUAAAGCAUCCUCUGGCUGUUCUUCCUAGCUGUGAGUCCCUGAGGAACAAAACAAAUCUGGUCAGAAGAGGAGGGCCUCUAUUAAAGUGGGUGGUGUUGUAAAAGAGGAUGAGCUAGAAGGAAUACAAAGCUCUUGGAUUAACAUUUUAAUAUUUUGAAAGCUUAUUCUAUGUGGUUUAUUGGGAUACUCAGUCUUUAGUAGCAAACAAUGAAACCAUAUGUCUGAUGGAUUAUUGUUGUCAGUAUACUCAUCUGUCAAGUGUACAUAUUCAGCCAUCCUAAUCUGCAUAUUCACUUCUUAACUCAUUGUCUUCCUUUGUCAUGGAAACACAUAUGCAUUGUUCAAUUCUCUGACAUAUUAGUCAAGUAUAAUUACUAGUAACAUAAAUGAUGGUAGUGACUAGCUCUUCUGGAAAUAAUUUGACUGUUAUGGUACGAUUUUGAACUCUGUGGACUUCUCAUUUACUUGUUCAUACAUAAUCAUGUAAUUAGUUUAUUGUUAGCAACUCAUGACAGACUUAAGUGUCACAACAGUUUCUUCAGCAUCUGUAAAAUUUUUAUCACGUGUAAAACUAAGUCUAAAAAUUUAUUUCAAUUUCUUAAAUUUGAUCAUCU